rnacentral:rRNA from 1 species
GAUGAACGCUGGCGGCGUGCCUAAUACAUGCAAGUCGAGCGAACAGACGAGGAGCUUGCUCCUCUGACGUUAGCGGCGGACGGGUGAGUAACACGUGGAUAACCUACCUAUAAGACUGGGAUAACUUCGGGAAACCGGAGCUAAUACCGGAUAAUAUAUUGAACCGCAUGGUUCAAUAGUGAAAGACGGUUUUGCUGUAACUUAUAGAUGGAUCCGCGCCGCAUUAGCUAGUUGGUAAGGUAACGGCUUACCAAGGCAACGAUGAGUAGCCGACCUGAGAGGGGGAUCGGCCACACUGGAACUGAGACACGGUCAAGACUCCUACGGGAGGCAGCAGUAGGGAAUCUUCCGAAAUGGGCGAAAGCCUGACGGAGCAACGCCGCGUGAGUGAUGAAGGUCUUCGGAUCGUAAAACUCUGUUAUUAGGGAAGAACAAAUGUGUAAGUAACUAUGCACGUCUUGACGGUACCUAAUCAGAAAGCCACGGCUAACUACGUG